rnacentral:tRNA from 1 species
GCGUUGAUGGUAUAGUGAUGAGCACAGCUGCCUUCCAAGCAGUUGACCGAGGUUUGAUUCCUGGCCAAUACA